UACGAAGGGGGCUAGCGUUGUUCGGAUUUACUGGGCGUAAAGCGCACGUAGGCGGAUCGUUAAGUCAGGGGUGAAAUCCUGGAGCUCAACUCCAGAACUGCCUUUGAUACUGGCGAUCUUGAGUCCGGAAGAGGUGAGUGGAACUCCUAGUGUAGAGGUGGAAUUCGUAGAUAUUAGGAAGAACACCAGUGGCGAAGGCGGCUCACUGGUCCGGUACUGACGCUGAGGUGCGAAAGCGUGGGGAGCAAACAGGGAGUUAAG
rnacentral:rRNA from 1 species